GCUUUUCAUUGGAUAGCACAUAAUCACAUAAAAGAUAAUACAGUAUACAUGUGUGCGUGUUUGAGCGUGUGUGUUGUGUUUGCUUUCAGCAGGGCGGUCAGCAGCUGUAAUGUAGGAUAUUUGUGAUUCUUUUUAGCUAUAACUGCUCCGUCGACUUCAACGCCGUGGAAGGACUCACUUGUGAGACUACCUAACCCCGCUGUGUCAACUGUUGCUCCCGAGUCACUGUCUGAGAGAGAUGAUAAUUUCUCCGUUGCUGGAGUCCAGGAGUUAGACAUUAGUGGUCCCGAAGAGACAGCUCUUCAGCAAUUGGAUUCAAGAUAUUGCAGGUUGUUUAAUAAAAAAUCCAAGAAGUGGAGCCUCUACACAGUAAAAGAAGACAAAGACUAUGGCUACAUCCCAGACCUCCAGAGUGCAAUCCUUAGGAAAAGGUUGUCUGCUGUGGGAGGGUUGCCACGGACCAUAACAAGGAGGCCUGACGAUCCCCGUCAAUAUGGGGUUCUGUCAGGUGUCCCUGCUCCAGCCACCCAGGACCUGUUGCAGAUGCAACUGAGCAGAGGGCGAGGUGAGUUGACUUAUUUUGUAAGUUGAUUAUAAAGUACUAAUAUGCUUAUGUGCAAAAGCU
rnacentral:lncRNA from 1 species